rnacentral:rRNA from 1 species
AAGCGUAUACGGCCAGACUUGGCCGCGGGGGCUCAACUCGUCUUCUGGCGGGUGUACUCCCUCGCGGACAGGCCAGCAUCGGUUCUCGCGGCCGGACAAAGACGUUGGGAAUGUGGCUACCUUCGGGUAGUGUUAUAGCCCGGCGUGUAAUGCGGCCUGCGGGGACCGAGGACCGCGCAUUGCAAGGAUGCUGGCGUAAUGGCCUUAUACGG